UACGUAGGGUGCAAGCGUUAAUCGGAAUUACUGGGCGUAAAGCGCGCGUAGGCGGCUUUGUAAGUUAGAGGUGAAAGCCCGGGGCUCAACCCCGGAACUGCCUUUAAGACUGCAUCGCUAGAAUUGUGGAGAGGUAAGUGGAAUUCCGAGUGUAGAGGUGAAAUUCGUAGAUAUUCGGAAGAACACCAGUGGCGAAGGCGGAUCUCUGGGCCGAUACUGACGCUGAGGAGCGAAAGCGUGGGGAGCGAACAGG
rnacentral:rRNA from 1 species